GCAUUGGGGAUUGCUAGGAACGGUUUUUUUUCCCUCCCCCCAGAAGCAACAGUUACUGGCUAUGUUGGGAUGUGUGGCAUUGAGGUGGCUGUAAGCCAUCUUGUUACCAGCCUGAGGAGGAAGGCGUCCGUUAGAGCAGGAGUGGCAGAACUUUGGAGAUGUGUAGCUGUGCCCUGGGUGUGUCUUCACAGGAGUCUGCAUUAUGAACUUGUGGCUGGGAAGAAGAGGACAAGGAAUAUGGAUAGACAGCUAGAUCUCGUUGCCACGGAAUGUGUGGAGAUUGGGUUUAAUUCCAGAUGCUUCUGUGAAUGCGCUUUAUUACCUUUUAAAAGCCCUAUGUGAAGAAUAAAUGACAUACAAUGUAUGAAAAUGUUGUUUAAUGACUGCAAGUGGAGGAAGUGUGCUAACGUCACCGUUGAAGGAAAAGUUGCCAAGGAGUCAACUUGCAUCCAGUUUACUGUCCAUCCAUGGCAGAAAGCCCUUCUCAUGGUUGAACGAUAUAUCAUUGUGUAUGUGCUUAUCACGUCUUAUCCAGUCAUCCUUUGAGAAACAGUGUUGAUCAUCAACAGACUGCAAACUAAAAUAGAAACAAAAACAAAACCUGACAAUAUCAAGUGCUUCAGGGAUUUGGAGCAACUGGAACUCUUACCCAUUGCUGCUGGGAAUAUAAAAUGAUACAAUCAUUUGAUACUUUUUCAUAAAGUUAGCUGUAUAAUAUAACCCAUAAAUUCCAUUAGUAUGUAUUCCUUUAAGAGAAAUAAACACUUACAGUCAUAUAAAAUCCUGUAUAGAAAUGUUUAUAACAGCUUUGUUCAUAAUCAUCCAAAAACCGAAAACAACCCAGAUGUGUUUGAACUGGUAACUGAACAGAUAUUCUUGUAUAUCUAUGUAAUUGGGUACUACUCAGCAGUGAAAACAGUUGAUAGAUGCCAUAAAAUAGAUGACUCAAAUGAAUAAUGCCUAAUGAAAGAAAUUAGGCUCAGAAGGAUACCUACUAUGAUCCCAUUUCUAUGACAUUCUGGAGAACAUAAAACCAGGGGGACUGAAAAUAGAUCAGGGCUGCCAGGAGCUAAAUGUAGAGGGAGAGUUUGUUUAAAAAGCAGUUGGAUAAUGGAAUUUUGGAGGAUGAUUGAGCUUCCCUGAUAGCUCAGUUGGUAAAGAAUCUGUCUGCAAUGCAGGAGACACAGGGUUGAUUCCUGGAGAAGGGAUAGGCUACCCACUCCAGUAUACUUGGGCUUCUCUUGUGGC